rnacentral:rRNA from 1 species
GUGGGGAAUAUUGCACAAUGGGGGAAACCCUGAUGCAGCGACGCCGCGUGAGUGAAGAAGUAUUUCGGUACGUAAAGCUCUAUCAGCAAGGAAGAAAAUGACGGUACUUGACUAAGAAGCCCCGGCUAACUACGUGCCAGCAGCCGCGGUAAUACGUAGGGGGCAAGCGUUAUCCGGAUUUACUGGGUGUAAAGGGAGCGUAGACGGUAUGGUAAGUCAGAUGUGAAAGCCCGGGGCUCAACCCCGGGACUGCAUUUGAAACUAUCAGGCUGGAGUGCAGGAGAGGUAAGUGGAAUUCCUAGUGUAGCGGUGAAAUGCGUAGAUAUUAGGAGGAACACCAGUGGCGAAGGCGGCUUUCUGGACGGUGUCUGACACUGAGGCGCGAAAGCCAGGGGAGCGAACGGGAUUAGAUACCCGGGUAGUCC